rnacentral:rRNA from 1 species
CGUGCCAGCAGCCGCGGUAAUACGGAAGGUGCAAGCGUUAUCCGGAAUCACUGGGUUUAAAGGGUGCGUAGGCGGUUGCGUAAGUCAGAAGUGAAAGCUCACAGCUUAACUGUGGAAUUGCUUUUGAUACUGCGCGACUAGAAUCAGGUUGAGGUUGGCGGAAUGUGACAUGUAGCGGUGAAAUGCAUAGAUAUGUCAUAGAACACCAAUUGCGAAGGCAGCUGACUGGACCUGCAUUGACGCUGAGGCACGAAAGCGUGGGGAGCGAACAGGAUUAGAUACCCUGGUAGUCCACGCCCUAAACGAUGCUUACUCGAUGUGUGAAAUAUUGCGCAUCCAAGGGAAACCGUUAAGUAAGCCACCUGGGGAGUACGUUCGCAAGAAUGAAACUCAAAUGAAUUGACGG